UUGGUGCCUUCGGGAACUCUGAGACAGGUGCUGCAUGGCUGUCGUCAGCUCGUGUUGUGAAAUGUUGGGUUAAGUCCCGCAACGAGCGCAACCCUUAUCCUUGUUUGCCAGCACUUCGGGUGGGAACUCCAGGGAGACUGCCGGUGAUAAACCGGAGGAAGGUGGGGACGACGUCAAGUCAUCAUGGCCCUUACGAGUAGGGCUACACACGUGCUACAAUGGCGUAUACAGAGGGCUGCCAACUCGCGAGAGUGAGCGAAUCCCAGAAAGUACGUCGUAGUCCGGAUUGGAGUCUGCAACUCGACUCCAUGAAGUCGGAAUCGCUAGUAAUCGUGAAUCAGAAUGUCACGGUGAAUACGUUCCCGGGCCUUGUACACACCGCCCGUCACACCAUGGGAGUGGGCUGCACCAGAAGUAGAUAGCUUAACCUUCGGGAGGGCGUUUACCACGGUGUGGUUCAUGACUGGGGUGAAGUCGUAACAAGGUAGCCCUAGGGGAACCUGGGGCUGGAUCACCUCCUUACCUAAAGA
rnacentral:rRNA from 2 species